CCAGACUCCUACGGGAGGCAGCAGUCGGGAAUAUUGCACAAUGGAGGAAACUCUGAUGCAGUGACACCGCGUAUAGGAAGAAGGUUUUCGGAUUGUAAACUAUUUUAGACAGGGAAGAAAAAAGACAGUACCUGUAGAAUAAGCUCCGGCUAACUACGUGCCAGCAGCCGCGGUAAUACGUAUGGUGCAAGCGUUAUCCGGAUUUACUGGGCGUAAAGGGAGCGCAGGCGGCGCGCCAAGUCUGAUGUGAAACCCCGGGGCUCAACCCCGGGCAUGCAUUGGAAACUGGCGGGCUGGAGUGCCGGAGAGGUAAGCGGAAUUCCUAGUGUAGCGGUGAAAUGCGUAGAUAUUAGGAGGAACACCAGUGGCGAAGGCGGCUUACUGGACGGCAACUGACGCUGAGGCUCGAAAGCGUGGGGAGCAAACAGGAUUAGAUACCCCAGUA
rnacentral:rRNA from 1 species